CAAAUAUUUAUAGGAUUAAGAUGGGCAUGCGUGUCAUUAGCUAGUUGGCGGGGUAACGGCCCACCAAGGCGACGAUGACUAGGGGAUCUGAGAGGAUGACCCCCCACACUGGUACUGAGACACGGACCAGACUCCUACGGGAGGCAGCAGUAAGGAAUAUUGGUCAAUGGAGGCAACUCUGAACCAGCCAUGCCGCGUGCAGGAAGACAGCCCUCUGGGUCGUAAACUGCUUUUAUUCGGGAAUAAACCACAUUACGUGUAAUGUGCUGAAUGUACCGAAGGAAUAAGGAUCGGCUAACUCCGUGCCAGCAGCCGCGGUAAUACGGAGGAUCCAAGCGUUAUCCGGAUUUAUUGGGUUUAAAGGGUGCGUAGGCGGCUUAUUAAGUCAGGGGUGAAAGACGGUGGCUCAACCAUCGCAGUGCCUUUGAUACUGAUGAGCUUGAAUACACUAGAGGUAGGCGGAAUGUGACAAGUAGCGGUGAAAUGCAUAGAUAUGUCACAGAACACCGAUUGCGAAGGCAGCUUACUAUGGUGUGAUUGACGCUGAGGCACGAAAGCGUGGGGAUCAAACAGGAUUAGAUACCCUGGUAGUCCACGCCCUAAACGAUGAAUACUCGCUGUUAGCGAUAUACAGUUAGCGGCUAAGCGAAAGCGUUAAGUAUUCCACCUGGGGAAUACGCCCGCAAGGGUGAAACUCAAAGGAAUUGACGGGGGCCCGCACAAGCGGAGGAGCAUGUGGUUUAAUUCGAUGAUACGCGAGGAACCUUACCCGGGCUUGAAAGUUAGUGAAUCAUUUAGAGAUAGAUGAGUCCGCAAGGACACGAAACUAGGUGCUGCAUGGCUGUCGUCAGCUCGUGCCGUGAGGUGUUGGGUUAAGUCCCGCAACGAGCGCAACCCCUAUGUUUAGUUGCCAGCACGUUAUGGUGGGGACUCUAAACAGACUGCCUGUGCAAACAGAGAGGAAGGAGGGGACGACGUCAAGUCAUCAUGGCCCUUACGUCCGGGGCUACACACGUGCUACAAUGGAUGGUACAGAGGGCAGCAAGCUGGCAACAGCAAGCGAAUCUCAAAAAGCCAUUCACAGUUCGGAUAGGGGUCUGCAACUCGACCUCUUGAAGUUGGAUUCGCUAGUAAUCGCGUAUCAGCAAUGACGCGGUGAAUACGUUCCCGGGCCUUGUACACACCGCCCGUCAAGCCAUGGAAGUUGGGGGUACCUAAAGUAUGUAACCGCAAGGAGCGUCCUAGGGUAAAACCGAUAACUGGGGCUAAGUCGUAACAAGGUA
rnacentral:rRNA from 1 species